rnacentral:rRNA from 1 species
UUCGGAAUUAUUGGGCGUAAAGCGUCUGUAGGUGGCGAGGAAAGUGUUGUGUUAAAGAUCAAGGCUUAACCUUGAAAAAGCAUUGCAAACUAUCUCGCUUGAGUUCGGUAGGGGCAGAGAGAAUUCCCAGUGUAGCGGUGAAAUGCGUAGAUAUUGGGAGGAAGACCAGUGGCGAAGGCGUUCUGCUGGGCCGUAACUGACACUCAGAGACGAAAGCUAAGGGAGCAAAUAGGAUUAGAUACCCUAGUAGUCCAAGCAGAGAAUUAUGAAUGUUAUAGAUUAAAAUAUUUGGUGUAUAAAUGAAAGUGUAAGCAUUCCACCUCAAGAGUAAUGCGGCAACGCAGGAACUGAAAUCAUUAGACCGUUUCUGAAACCAGUAGUGAAGUAUGUUAUUUAAUUCGAUGAUCCUCGAAUAACCUUACCACAAUUUGAAUGACCUAAAAUAUUUUUUUAGACCACAUGCGUUGCAUGGCUGUCUUCAGUUAAUGUCGUGAGACUUUGGUUAGAUCCAUUAAAUUAACGUAAACCCUUGUUUUAUUUAUUAGUAUAAAGCAGCUCUCCGCUUACAAUUGGAUGUGAUAAUAGGGACUAAGACAAGUCAUCAUGGCCUUAAUAUUGUGGGCUAUAGACGUGCCACAUGUGCCUUUACAAAGGGAUGCAAUAAUGCGAAUUGGAGCUAAUCCCCAAAACAGGAUAAAGUAUGGAUUGUAGUCUGAAAUUCGACUGCAUGAAAAAGGAAUUACUAGUAAUCGUGAGUAAUCACAUCACGGUGAAUUUUAUCUCAGAUAGGUACUAACCACUCGUCAGGCGCUGAAAGGAGUAUGCGCAAUAAGUUUGG